rnacentral:rRNA from 1 species
AUUGAACGCUGGCGGCAUGCCUUACACAUGCAAGUCGAACGGCAGCACGGGAGCAAUCCUGGUGGCGAGUGGCGAACGGGUGAGUAAUAUAUCGGAACGUGCCCAGUCGUGGGGAUAACGUAGCGAAAGCUACGCUAAUACCGCAUACGAUCUAUGGAUGAAAGCGGGGGGAUCGCAAGACCUCGCGCGAUUGGAGCGGCCGAUAUCAGAUUAGGUAGUUGGUGAGGUAAAGGCUCACCAAGCCGACGAUCUGUAGCUGGUCUGAGAGGACGACCAGCCACACUGGGACUGAGACACGGCCCAGACUCCUACGGGAGGCAGCAGUGGGGAAUUUUGGACAAUGGCGCAAGCCUGAUCCAGCAAUGCCGCGUGCAGGAUGAAGGG